GACAGCAGCAGCCGCGGGAAUACAGAGGGUGCGAGCGUUAAUCGGAUUUACUGGGCGUAAAGCGUGCGUAGGCGGCUUCUUAAGUCGGAUGUGAAAUCCCUGAGCUUAACUUAGGAAUUGCAUUCGAUACUGGGAAGCUAGAGUAUGGGAGAGGAUGGUAGAAUUCCAGGUGUAGCGGUGAAAUGCGUAGAGAUCUGGAGGAAUACCGAUGGCGAAGGCAGCCAUCUGGCCUAAUACUGACGCUGAGGUACGAAAGCAUGGGGAGCAAACAGGAUUAGAUACCCGUGUAGUCCCUGUCUCUUAUAC
rnacentral:rRNA from 1 species